rnacentral:tRNA from 2 species
GGAGAGGUGGCCGAGUAUGGCUUAAGGCGUACGCCUGCUAAGCGUAUGAGAUUAACGUCUCCGAGGGUUCAAAUCCCUCCCUCUCCGCCA